rnacentral:rRNA from 1 species
UACGUAGGUGGCAAGCGUUGUCCGGAUUUAUUGGGUUUAAAGGGUGCGUAGGCGGUCUAUUAAGUCAGUGGUGAAUAUCGCAGCUUAACUGUGAGGGUGCCAUUGAUACUGAUGGACUUGAGUGAAGUCGAAGUAGGCGGAAUUGACGGUGUAGCGGUGAAAUGCUUAGAUAUCGUCAAGAACACCGAUAGUGAAGACAGCUUACUAGGCUUAUACUGACGCUGAGGCACGAAAGUGUGGGGAUCAAACAGG